GAGGGUUUCACUGAAGACGGUACUUACCAAUUAGCUGUCUCUCGUGGUACGUCUGAUUAUGAUAUAUUUGCAAAUUCAAAUGAUCUGGUUUCAAAAAAAGUAAUGAAGUUGAUGAUAAAAAAACAAAAUUUGCCAGCAUCUAUAUCGGAAGGAUUUAUGAAAAUUUGCGAAAAUCAAAAACUAGCUAUCUACACAUAUAACCGGAUAAAAAAAAGCUUAAGUUUUAAAAUACCAUGUAAAGUGAUUGCCGUUGA